GAAACCCAGGUUAAUCCCUGCCUUUGCAGAGUCUCCAAAUGCUUUGGGAGUUAAAACUAAAGAAAGGGCCUCGUUCCUCAGCGACUGCUGCCUGUGAUCCUGGGAUGAAAGGAGACCGUCUCACCUCAGCCCUCCCCGCUGCUGGAAGCACUCAGGUGCUGGGAGGCAGAGAGGCAGCCCCGGGUUGGCGCUGGGGUUCAGCACGGAGCACAGAGGGGCUUCCUGCUGCAGGGCUGAGUGUGUGCAGAGCGGGGUUUUGUUCCCACCUCUUGCUCGGCUGCUGUAUGCAUAGCGUGAGCACAAGCAGGGAGCUUUGGCUCCUGUCUGCAUCUGCACUGAGCACUGCUGGCACCGUGGGCACUCGAGACCCUGUGACGAUUUCCCAGUUUUUAUGCUUUUCACGCUUUGCUUUUUUCAGUCAAUUAAAGAAAACAAUGAGGGGUUUGAAGGUAUACAAAUGUUUACAUGAUACUGUGGCCAGUAAAUCCCACUCUGUGGUCCCACGGGUUUCCCUGAGCCAUCUGGGCACAUCUGAGCUCAAAGCAUUCCUAUAGGUAGAGGCGAAACAAAAUUGGAAGAAAAGCAUUACGAUUUCACCAGGCUGCACCGUGGCCUCAGGAGAUGGGUGCUUGGCUGCUGCUCUUCUGCUUUGUCUCGGCACCCAGAAAUCACUGACAUCAGUGCGAAGGGGCCUUCAGCCUUUGCUGAGACUUAAAUGACCUCGUGUGUCUGCUGGGGCACAGCACGACUGUAGCAUAAGGGCCCCCUGCCCCGUGCUGGCAGGCUCCACCAGAUCCAACCUCCAGCUCCACAGUGCCCAUAAUUCCCAGUUAAAAGGCUGUGGGUGAUGGCAAGAAGGUGCUGUGCUGUGCUGGGGAGGAGAGCUGGCUGACACUGAACCCAUUGGAUGAAGCAGGACUGCGUGGGACUCAAAUAAUUUUGGAACUUAGCAGCACCUUUGCUCCCAGAACGAAAACUGGCAAGAUGGUCAAGAUGCCACCGAGACAGCUGGGAAGUAAAUAACUUCUUUGCACAGCUGACCAGCGGCCUCUCCAAUGGCUGCAGAGCCUGCGCCGGUUGGGGACGCGCACGGAGCUGCACGGAUAAUGGCACCGGGUCGGCCCCUCAUCGAGUGGUGGAGGCACGGGGUGAGGCUGUGAGGGAUGCACAGAGCAGGGCUGAGAGAUGGAGGCACGGGGUGAGGUUGAGCGAUGGAGGCACGGGGUGAGGCUCAGCUCCCGCGCAGAGCCGCUCUCUUCCACCACGAGUUUAAACCAAAAGGUUAAAAGCAUCUAAUUAUGCUGAUGCUUUCCCCCCUGGAUUAAACAAGAGGAUAAAUAGAGUACAGCGUGUUUCCUUGGGUUUGAUUUUGUCUCUGAACCAGGCGGAGGAUCCCUGGCAGCUGUCACGUUCUGUGUUUGAUGGUGUCAGCGCUGCUGUUCGGAGGUGUUCCUCUCGCUGCUGUCAGCAUUUUCCGGGGGAGGAUGAAUGCAUCCAUACAGUCUGUUUGCUGUCCACAUAUUCACAGUUCAUGUGUUACAUUUUACAUAAAGUAAACUUAGCAAGGGGAAAACUAAUUCUGCAAUUCUUCAAAGCUAAUGCAGAG
rnacentral:lncRNA from 1 species